CUAGCCUGGUGCUAGGGAAUUUCACUGCCCUGGGUGACCCAAGUAACUGGGAGUGUGACACUGUGAAAUGUUAAUUUAAUUUCUCUGUUACCUUUAGGUGGAUGUGUAUGCAGAUAUAUUAAGGAUACUAAAAGUGGCUGCUUUUCAAAGGUCGGACUUAACUGCAGAGUUUUGAAGAUAUGUAAGCCAGUGAACCUUGAUAGCAGGAUGUGAUCUUCACAGUUCAUUGGAUUCCCAGAAAGGGAGAGGCACCAGGAGUGAGCAGGGCUGGGUUAGCCUCCAAUCUAACUACAGAGCCCCUCAAGAUUGCAGUUGAGGAACGGAGCUGAGGAUUGCACCUGCAGAUGGUUGGCAGAUCUGGGCCAGCAGAGGACUGAAAAGACUGAUCAGUUAUUGCUGUAGAGCCCAAAGAAUCACAACCAGUUUUAUAAACUACUUCCACAAAAUUUCUAUAAGAUAAAACAAGUAGUCUGCAGUUUUGUGCGGAUGGUGAGAUAUAAAAGUCUGGUGGUGAUUGCCAUCUCAGAAAAAAUACCCUUCAGGAGGAUUUGAGGUUUCAUUUUCAAGGAUAAAUAUACCCUCUGCAGAAACAAUUUUGCCAUGGCAAAGCUUCUACACAUUCCAGACUGUUCUAAUUAUGAAAACGUUGCAAGAACGUCCAUCCUGCAGGAUUACUUACAAACGACCCAACAACAGAUACCAGAUAAGAGUCAGGAAACACCUCUUGCCACACCACUGUGACAAGAUUGCUCGAUGAGUCAACUCAUGACCAUAUAUGGAAGAAACACUCGGAAGUUCAUGAAAAAGAACACCAAAAGCGCCUCUUCAACAAACUACUAGGGACCAUCAGAGACUUAAAGCGCAUGCGUAAUUAAGAUGUAAAUAUUAUAAUGAGUUCCGGGAAACUUAAUGAAUAUGUAUGAUUUGGGGCAAUAUAACCCUCACUGGCUGUAGCUGGUGGCCUGCAUGAUAGGCGGAGCUAUCCCCCGUGUAUCCGGUGCCGCAGUAAAGAAUGCCUGCUCUUUAAUAUUGCAUUGGUGUUAAGGAGUUUUAUUCCCGAUUUCGGUGACAAAAAGACAAUGAAGAGUAUUCAAAGGAAUUUUUUUUUUUUUUUUUUUUUUAAAAAGGAGACAUACUUUGGUCUCUUUCUUAUUUGACUUCUAGGUCUCCCAUGAAUUGAGCCUCAUUUGAAAUUAAAAAAAGCAAAAUAAACAUAGAAACAAAAGAAUUUAUCAAACCAGGUUAACAUUGAAUCAGUUUGUUUCAAGUUGCUUUCAGAUAGUUGUUUGAUAUUUCAUGAGAGCUUACCUGCAAAUAUUAAAUGUAUGGCCUUAUUUUAGAUCCUUUUUUUCUGCUGUGAAUAGUGCUGUUCUGUGAUCUCAAUAAGCUAUCUAAAGAAAAGAACAGAAAAAUAUUGUA